rnacentral:rRNA from 1 species
UCGGGAAUUUUGGGCAAUGGGGGAAACCCUGACCCAGCAACGCCGCGUGAAGGAUGCAGUUUUUCGGAAUGUAAACUUCGUAAGAAUAGGAAGAAUCAAUGACGGUACUAUUUGUAAGCUCCGGCUAACUACGUGCCAGCAGCCGCGGUAAUACGUAGGGGGCAAGCGUUGUUCGGAUUUACUGGGCGUAAAGGGCGCGUAGGCGGCGUGGUAAGUCACUUGUGAAAUCUCUGAGCUUAACUCAGAACGGCCAAGUGAUACUGCUGUGCUAGAGUGCAGAAAGGGCAGCCGGAAUUCUUGGUGUAGCGGUGAAAUGCGUAGAUAUCAAGAGGAACACCUGAGGCGAAGGCGGGUUGCUAGGCUGACACUGACGCUGAGGCGCGAAAGCCAGGGGAGCAA